rnacentral:rRNA from 1 species
CCCUUAGAUGUUCUGGGCCGCACGCGCGCUACACUGACGCAUUCAACGAGUCUAAAACCUGCUCUGAUAGGGGUGGGUAAUCUUUUGAAUGUGCAUCGUGAUUGGGAUAGAUGAUUGAAAUUUUUCAUCUUCAACGAGGAAUGCCUAGUAAACGCAAGUCAUCAGCUUGCAUUGAUUACGUCCCUGCCCUUUGUACACACCGCCCGUCGCUCCUACCGAUUGAAUGAUCCGAUGAAUAUCAUGGAUUGAGGAUGCAAGUAGGUUCACCUAUCUUCAUCUUCGAGAAGUGAAGUAAAUCUUAUCAUUUAGAGGAAGGAGAAGUCGUAACA